rnacentral:rRNA from 1 species
CUGAAUAACCCAGCUGAUCGCACGGUCUUUGCACCGGCGACGCAUCUUUCAAGUGUCUGCCUUAUCAACUUUCGAUGGUAGUUUAUGUGACUACCAUGGUUAUAACGGGUAACGGAGAAUAAGGGUUCGACUCCGGAGAGGGAGCCUGAGAAACGGCUACCACAUCCAAGGAAGGCAGCAGGCGCGCAAAUUACCCACUCUCAGCACGAGGAGGUAGUGACGAAAAAUAACGAGGCGGUUCUCUAUGAGGCCCGCUAUCGGAAUGAGAACAAUAUAAAUCCUUUAACGAGGAUCUAGCGGAGGGCAAGUCUGGUGCCAGCAGCCGCGGUAAUUCCAGCUCCGCCAGUGUAUAUCUAUGCUGCUGCGGUUAAAAAG